AUUUUCUCUUAUAUAGUUUUCUUCUAAUAUUUCGAUCCGUGUGUUUCUAUUCUCUAGGCAACCAUAUUUGUCUGUUGUCUUCACAACGUUAUCGAGAAAGAUACACAUCUUUAAAUUGUCGUUUUAAUCUAAAUUUAACAUUUGCAAUCCGUCCCUUUAUUUCAUUCUUUGUGAUUCCGGUGUUUGUAUGAAUCUUAAUGUGAUAAUUUUGUCAUUCCAUUUCUAUGUAUUUUAUGGUAAAAAUUCAUAUUUUUUUAUUGUUCCCGCUAGUCACUCUUGUUAAGUGUUCUUUCUUCUCUCUCUCUCCACAACAGUAAUGAGAGGGAAAGAAAUUAAGAAAUCGGGAGCUGGACGAGGCUGCUAAAGGCAGUGGAUCCCUGAUCAGCUGGGUGAAGAGCAGAAUAGGCAGAGUUACUCCACCUGGAUGAGAUGUCUGUGUAGGCUCUGACAUUGGAGGAGGUCCAGCUCCUCUGGGAGAGACAUCACAAGGUCCAAGACCACUGCACUCUCUGAGGAGCACAACAACAGGUAAGUAUUGGAAAGGACACUCGUAAAGUAAAAUGUCAGCAACAGAAAUAUUGAUGUAGAUUUUCCAGGUGGCUGGACUUGAGCUAAGUCCAGUACUCAGUAACUUCCCACCCUUGAGCAUUGAUGAAGUCUGGUUAUGCCUGGGUUGGUUGCCCACACUCACCCAUGGCCGUGAGCUCAAACUUGCUCUCUGGAUUGUGGACAGCACUCAGGUAGUUGUAGAUCCUCUCAAAGUUCACCACCAAGUCCUCCGCGGUGCAGGAAGUUGAGGCAAUCAGAUCAGACUUCUCAGCAGGGACCACCUGAGACGACGUGGCCGCCUCAUUGGCUACUGAAGUGCUUGGAGUCACUUGAAAAGACACAAACAACCAAUUAUCGCGAGACAUUUUACCCUGGUCUCGGUUACUGUCGCAGUCUGUACCUUGGUCUGGCGUGGUACUGGUAGCAUCAAGCCUUGACUGGGGACGGUUUUGGAUGGUGAGAGGCUCUGUGGACGCUACCACCCACAUCUGGCGAGAAGAGAACUUUAAAAUUGAGAUACUUGAACCUUCACCGAAGUGUCAUUCGGCCCACGGCACCUGAGAGAAAGCCUUUGACAGUGGACUUUCAUGGCUCCCGGACACAGCCCGGGCCAAACCGCUCCACUUCUCAAUGGGCACCCCUACUUUCUCUGCUGUUAUAAAGAGCCUUAUCUGUGAGAGGGCGCUGGAGAUCACCUUAUCCCGGAGACGUUUAAACACAGACUGGAUCUAAAGGACAAACACCAUUGCAUUACAGCACGCCGUACUACAAGCACCAACUGUAAGUUUUUGCAGUACAGUGAUCCCUCGCGACUUCAAGCUUCAAACUUCGCGUCCUCAGCCAUUCGCAGAUUUUUUCCAAUUAAAAAAUUAUAUAUAUCCAAGCCGAUCGCGUAGUCUCACUCUCCCUGCUCUUUGUUGUUCAGGCAAUGCACUGGGUUUGCUUAUUAA